rnacentral:rRNA from 1 species
AGUGAACGCUGGCGGUAGGCCUAACACAUGCAAGUCGAACGGCAGCACAGUAAGAGCUUGCUCUUACGGGUGGCGAGUGGCGGACGGGUGAGGAAUACAUCGGAAUCUACUUUUUCGUGGGGGAUAACGUAGGGAAACUUACGCUAAUACCGCAUACGACCUACGGGUGAAAGCAGGGGAUCUUCGGACCUUGCGCGAUUGAAUGAGCCGAUGUCGGAUUAGCUAGUUGGCGGGGUAAAGGCCCACCAAGGCGACGAUCCGUAGCUGGUCUGAGAGGAUGAUCAGCCACACUGGACCUGAGACACGGUCCAGACUCCUACGGGAGGCAGCAGUGGGGAAUAUUGGACAAUGGGCGCAAGCCUGAUCCAGCCAUACCGCGUGGGUGAAGAAGGCCUUCGGGUUGUAAAGCCCUUUUGUUGGGAAAGAAAAGCAGCAGGUUAAUACCCCGCUGUUCUGACGGUACCCAAAGAAUAAGCACCGGCUAACUUCGUG